UAAAUCUAGAUACUGAAUUAAUAUAGAAUUUAGUGCCUUUGUCACUAUCAAACGGAUUGUUCAAGAGGCUAGUUUGAGAGAGAAAAAGUGAGAGCUCUCAAAGAUGCUUAGGAAAUUGGAUCAUUAAGGAAACUAGCAUGAUUUAGGUAGUCUUACAAUGGGUUUCGUAAACUUGUUUACAAUGAUCAAACAAGUGUUUUCCAUCCUUUCAUUGUGUAGAUAUUUUGUCUUCCAAUUGAAAGAAAUCUUUCUCUAAUCUAAUUUUCAAUCUCUAGUACAUAAUUAACUUUAUCAGAGCAAACUUAGUGGUAGUUGUCUUUUAAACAACUUCAUUUAUCAAUCUCUUUCCACUUUGUUCUCUUUUUAGUCUUGCUUGUCACUCUUUUGUAGAAUGUAUAUCUGAUAUUUAAUUUGAAGUAAGAAGAGAUUUGUAGCUUAUUGAUUUGGAGAUAUUUAUUUCCUUAGGUGCAUUGUGUAUGACGGAGGUUAAUGGAUUUAUCAUGUAUCAUUUUAUUUAUUUAUGUAUUGUUUUUUAUUUCCAUAAAUUGUACCAUCCUGACACUGUUUACUGAAAGGCAUAAUUAUUUUUUCUUAAAAAUUUGUCUAAAUUCAAUUGCUCAAUUAAUCAAAACUUGAAACCUGUACAUAAGUCCUUAGUGGAGAUCUGCUAACUCACUUUUCAUUCACAAGAUCACUCUUCUCUGUGUCCUUUAUUAGUAUCUUUAUGACAUAAGUUGGACAAUUAAGGCAGUCAAUGAGCUAUUGGCAUUACUCUUAAAAGCAUGUAAAGGAAUUUUAGAGAUAGAAGCAUCAACAUUUUCAUAGUAUCUUUCUUGUUUAUGUUCCUUAUUAUUGGAGUGUCACUAAAAGAAAACUUCUUUAGAUAACAAAGACUAAAGAAACCAAGUUCUUAUUAUGAUGUUGUUUAGUGAGAAUUAAGUUUAAGAAAAGCAUUAUCGUCAGAAGAGGAAAUUGGGGUUGUUCAAUAUACAAAGUACAAUGAGAAUUCAAGACGAGAAUGCUAUCCAAUGAGACGGUGCCCAAUGGAGAAUCAAAGAUGGGAGAGACCAAUUAUGCAUAAUAUGGAGCAGUGUUAUGCCUCAUGUUUGUGUGAUUUUACUGCAAUUUAUUCUCUGGUUUGACUAUCAUCACUAAGUAUGCAUUAGAGCAAGGCUUGAGUACGUUCAUACUCUCUGUUUAUCGGCAUGUGAUUGCGGCUAUUGUUCUUUUUCCUUUUGCUAUUUUCUUUGAAAGGUACAUUUAUCCCAAUUGAUCGUAAUAACUAUUUUCUUCCUGUUUAUCAUAAGGCUGAAACAUUUUGUUUUAAUUCAUCAUCUGUUUUUGUAGAAAUGCACUCUCACUGCUGAAAUCUUCCAUCAUUUUGAAGAUUUUAAUACUUGGUCUCUUGGAGUAAUUAUCUGUAUAUAUGUUGAUUCUUUCUAUUGCUUGAUUAUGGAAUUAUGGUGUAAAAGAGUUUAAUCUUGAUGCAGGUCGGUAUUGGAUUAGAACUUGUUCUACUUAGGAAUGAAUUACACAUCUGCAGGCUUCAUUGCCAUCAUGACGAAUGCUCUUCCAGUUGUUACCUUCAUAUUGUCUUGGAUUCUAAGGUUAGCGAGAGAGUAAAACUGAAUGAAUGGAGGAGCAUUGCAAAGGUGGUAGGGGACUAUUCUCUCUGUUUCUGGUGCCAUGGUAAUGACACUAUACAAAGGCCCCAAAUUUUGGAUGCCGUGCACAAGGGAGGGAACUCUUGAUGAAAUGGAACGGGAAUCUCAUAAUUUGUUGAAAGGUUCUAUUUUCCUUGUUGUUGCUUGCAUUGGUUGGGCGAGCUUUUAUAACCUUCAAGUAGGCAUUUAACUCUGCCACGCAAGUAACAAUGCUAUAUACCGAUUAACAUUUGAGUAACUCCGUCAUUCUCUGUUUGCAGAGCUUCACUUUAAGAUCAUAUCCAUGGAAACUCACUUGCUCAUUCUUGAUAUGCACUGCAGGCUCCGUUGAAGGUUCCAUUGUGGCCCUCGUGGUUGAGAGAAAGAACUUAUCAGUUUAGUCAAUCGGUUGGGGCUGGUAGUUGUUUACUGUCGUCUACGCGGCUAUAAAUUGUUCGGCAUUGGGCUACUUUCUUCAGAGUUCAGUGAUUAAAGAACGUGGGCGGUGUUUGUCAAUGCAUACAGUCCUCUUGGCAGGGUCAUUGUUGCUGCUACCGGUUUACUGCUCGUUAGGGAGGAAUUGUUCACAGGCAGGGUGAUUGGAGCAGGAUUGAUUGUUUUCGGUCUUUAAUUGGUUGUUUGGGGGAAGAGUAGAGGUGAUGUAGGCUUGAAUAGGGAUGAAGAAAGAGCAAUUGAACUGAUAGUGUUGGUGGUGGUCAAUAGGCAUCACAUAAAUCAUAUUCUUCACAUAUUUUUAUUUAUUUAUUUUGGAUGUUCAAGAGAUCUUUAUAAUACAAAAUGAUUUCUUAGCA